AAGUCGUAACAAGGUUUCCGUAGGUGAACCUGCGGAAGGAUCAUUAAUGAGUUAGGGUCUUCUAGGCUCGAUCUCCAACCCUUUGUAUAAUUACCAUGUUGCUUUGGCGGGCCCGUCUUUAACCGGACCGCCGGGGAUCUUUGGAUCUCUGGCCAGCGCCCGUCAGUAGCCCACAAUAAACUCUUCAAACCAUGUUAAAUCUGAAAAUAGUUAAUAAACUAAAACUUUCAACAACGGAUCUCUUGGUUCUG
rnacentral:misc_RNA from 1 species